rnacentral:rRNA from 1 species
GAUCCUGGCUCAGGAUGAACGCUGGCGGCGUGCCUAAUACAUGCAAGUCGAACGCACAGCGAAAGGUGCUUGCACCUUUCAAGUGAGUGGCGAACGGGUGAGUAACACGUGGACAACCUGCCUCNAGGCUGGGGAUAACAUUUGGAAACAGAUGCUAAUACCGAAUAAAACUCAGUGUCGCAUGACACAAAGUUAAAAGGCGCUUUGGCGUCACCUAGAGAUGGAUCCGCGGUGCAUUAGUUAGUUGGUGGGGUAAAGGCCUACCAAGACAAUGAUGCAUAGCCGAGUUGAGAGACUGAUCGGCCACAUUGGGACUGAGACACGGCCCAAACUCCUACGGGAGGCUGCAGUAGGGAAUCUUCCACAAUGGGCGAAAGCCUGAUGGAGCAACGCCGCGUGUGUGAUGAAGGCUUUCGGGUCGUAAAGCACUGUUGUAUGGGAAGAACAGCUAGAAUAGGGAAUGAUUUUAGUUUGACGGUACCAUACCAGAAAGGGACGGCUAAA